UACGGGGGGAGCAAGCGUUGUUCGGAUUUACUGGGCGUAAAGGGCGCGUAGGCGGCCACCGCAAGUCGACUGUGAAAUCUCCGGGCUUAACCCGGAACGGUCAGCCGAUACUGCGGGGCUAGAGUGCAGAAGGGGCAACUGGAAUUCUCGGUGUAGCGGUGAAAUGCGUAGAUAUCGAGAGGAACACCAGUGGCGAAGGCGAGUCUCUGGACAUUUCCUGACGCUGAGGCACGAAAGCCAGGGGAGCAAACGGG
rnacentral:rRNA from 1 species